GACAACGUGGCCGAGCGGUUAAGGCGAUAGACUAGAAAUCUAUUACUUGAGUGCGGAGGUUCCAGUCCUGCCCUUGUCG
rnacentral:tRNA from 1 species